rnacentral:rRNA from 1 species
CCCUUAGAUGUUCUGGGCCGCACGCGUGCUACACUGAGUGGAUCAGCGGGUCAGGUUGCGCGAAAGCGUUUCCUAAUCUUUAAAUCCGCUCGUGAUGGGGAUUGACGGUUGCAAUUUUCUGUCAUGAACGAGGAAUACCUUGUAAGCGCGGGUCAUCAUCCCGCGCUGAAUACGUCCCUGCCCUUUGUACACACCGCCCGUCGCUCCUACCGAUUGAGUGGUCCGGUGAGGCAUUCGGACUUUCAUCAUGCUGGUUUCCAGUUUUGAUGAAGGAAAGUCUUGCGAACCUUAUCAUUUAGAGGAAGGAGAAGUCGUAACA